GGAGGAGCGGAGGAGGGCGCGGCGCCUCCUGGUAGUCAGAGGCUGGAGGAAGAAGUAAUCAUCCACCUCUGUGUUGUCCACAUCCAGGUCGUCCUCAGAGAUGUCGUCGAGUGUCAAGAUGAUCCCUCAGCAUGUUGCGGUGGCUCCUUUUCUGCUCCAUGGCAAACUCCCUGAGGGUGAAGCGCUUCACCCCGCUGUGACGUGGUGACAUCCCCAGGGUGCUGCCGCCCUGUGUGGGCACGCUGGUGAAGCCUUGCCGCCGGUUGAAGUAGUAGACUGUCACGCUCUCAAAGUGCACAUUGCGACCCCGGAGUCGCUUUGACUGCUGCUGCAGAGAAGCUGAAAGUGAGACAGAGAGUCCAGCAGUCCGGAGGGGACGGGAUGGUUGAGACUAUCGCUGCUGUUGCCGCUGUCGCUGCAGGAAACCUCGUCAUCAUCAGACCCCUGCAGGGAGAGGAAGUCCUCGACUCUCUCCUCUGCAUCACACAGUGUUCACCAGCAGCAGCCAAACAUCCCCAUGUGUCGUGAUGAUGCAGUGAGGGCUGCCAUGAUGCCUGCUCUCUCUCUCUCUCUCCUCUCUCUCUCUCUCUCUCUCCCUCUCCCUCUCUCUCUGUGUCUCUCUCUCUCUUUCCAGCAGCCUCUGGCACUAUUGUGCAGCACUGAGCACUUCUGCCUCUGCCUUGCUAUCUUAUGCGUCCUCCCUUUGCACCCUCAUUCUCUGCUCAUGCUGUCAGCUCUCUCACUGUCUGAUUCUCCUCUGCUCUACACCCCCCUUCCUUUCUCUCUCUCUCUCUCUCUCUCUCUCUCUCUCUCUCUCUCUCUCUCUCCUCACAAAGACUUGUUAGCUCGAUGCUGCUGCCGGCUGGAGCGCUGGAGCUUGACUGAGGACCGCUGGGAGUCCCUGGACCUUACUUUGAGAACCACUGCUCUAGAUGCAUGGAUGCAUCUCGCUGUGGACUUUCAGAGGAAGAGUGGAACAGCAAGAUGAUGCGAUGAAGAGAGCUCCAGUCAAAUGGAAAUGAUGCCAUUUAUGUUUCAUGUGUUGAUUUAAGGGAUGUAACGGUCUCUUUACCGCUGCACUCAGAUCUGAUGGUUUUGUCUGCUGCUGUCACAUGUUGUCAUGUGCAUCAUCAGUCUGUUUACACUCUGUCGCUUUUUGCUUUUUAUCAACACGCCAACUUUUCCAGCUCAACCAGAGGAUUGUUUGAAAAAUGUAUUUUUUUUAUGUGCAAAUCAAAAAUACACAAAGAAGCAGGUGUAAUCAAAGCACAUUGUUACUAUGUUGUACUUUUAGGAGGUUAACAUUAAUACACCCAACCAUUUCUUUUAAACGUGAUUGACCACCUGACGCCCACGCACAAGCCCCUAAACAUUGUUGCUAUAGCAAUGCUAGACCCUGAAUGUUCAGUCUUCCCAUUAUAGUGGUGCACAGUAGAAAAAUAUCCAGAGUGAAGCUUCCAAGAGCCUCAGCCUUGAGUUUGUAUGUACUGUACACAAAGAUGGUGUGUUAAAGUGAUUCAGCUUCAUCUGUUUGUGUAGGACGUCUCCUUUUUCUUCAUUCCUGAAUGCAGCACAGACAAACCUGGACUUGCUAGUUUUUAUAAUUAAGCUUUAAUCUUCAUAAUUAGGGCGCUUGAUGCAUUCAUGGUACAUAAGUGUUGAAUGGUUAAAUAUGAAUAAAUACAUUAACCAGGUCAGCAGUGCAUUAAGAUCUGCAACAGCUGAUACAAGUCUCCUCUCUUUCCACAGUGAGGAGCUUCAUCAUUAGUUUAAAGGGUGAUUAAAAAGUGCUGAAGCUCGUGCUCCGUCUGCUUGUAAUACUGCAAAAUUUAAGGUGUGAAACUUGGAGUUAAAUACUCGUAACAUGAAUGAAGUGCUUAGUUUGAAUACAUUUGCUCAUAUCACUGCAGGAGAAGGGGGCUGUUAGAAGUCAGCACUGUUGAGAUUUAAAAAUUUAAGUGAGUGAAAUUAAAAGUUACUGCAUUUAAAAAAAAAAAGAAAUUACACUAAGAAAUACAAUAUAAGUUAUUAUAUGGAAGUUAUUAUUUGCUGCUCCAGAGGGUUUCUCUCUGCUGUGCUUCGAAUCGUCUUGUUUUCUCCCGGCAAGGAUGGAGUGGCGAUGUGCGGUAGAGACGGAGUGAUCCUUCCAAUCAGCUUCCAU